AGCUCUUGCACUUGCUAACUCUGAUUCCACACUCGCUUGCUUGCACACUCCCUCCCGAGAGGGGUUGAGCAGAGCAGGCUGAGUAAAUGAGGCACCCUUGCCACAAGUCCUAUGAAGGGGUUGAGAAAAUACCCUGCAUCACUGGCAGGCACAGCCAAGGACAUGCCUAUGCUCAGACAUCAGUACCAUUGUCCAGAGAACCUGACAUGUUGUAUGCAAUUUCUGUGUCAGAGUGGACCUGAGAAAGUUCCUGGUGCCUAAAUAUGGGUUUUGAAUCGGCAUUGGUGAUAUCUGCCAUGGUGGCAUUCUGAAUUUGAUGACAUAAAUUGUCCACACGAAUUGUCACUGAAUCCUUGAUAAGAAAACUGAGACACAGAAAGGUCUCAGGAAGAAAAAAGACAAGGUGGAAUUCGGAUCCAGGCAGUAUGGAUUUAGGGUCUGUUCUCUCAAUUACCAUAUCAUAAUGUGUCUCUUAAAAAACUUUAAAAUGUGAAUGCUGUAUGCAAUGUUAACAAUGAUGUCGAUGAUAGCACAGAAGGCAGCUACUCUCACCUACUGCAGUAGGUCUGUGAAAUGUGCUUUGUUUCUGGUCAGCAUGGACACCCGCUUUAAUAGUGGCUUCAGAUGAGGCACCUUGUGACAGAGGAGCUCUUCCCCUGCAGCAACCUUGAAGAUGUUGUGGAAGACAAUAGCCAUUCUUACUUCACUCUGAGGAUCACGAUGGCGUGCAAGGGUGUGCCAAGCACAUUGCUAUCUUUGGCCAUUCUCUCUCACAUUAGUACACCUGGAUGUGAAUGGCACGUUAUCUAUGUAAGCAGUGAUGGUCUCUAUCUGGUGGUAGAAAUGACAGAAUUACACACAAUCAGGACAGCUGAGAUUCCAUUUACUAGCUCAGUAAUCAGAGAAUAUGUAUGACAUCCCAGCAAAAAAUGUUGAACAUGUUCAGAUUUCAUCAUAUCAGCACCACAGUAUCAGUCUUACUGGGAGGUGCUCGCAUUCAGUUCCUGGCUACUGAAGAAAUUUUGCAGGAGUUCCAGAUAACUUACUUGUCCCAUAAUAAUGAAAACUAUUACAAUUAUGCUAAAGAAGAAUACUUAAUAACACAGUAAAAAUGUUUAUGAUGUCUUUUAAUUUCUAAAGCAUGUUAUAAAAGUAUUACAGUAUGAUCUCAUAUUUGUAAGUAAAAUAUAUAUUAAUUCAUUUAGCAAAUAAAUAUUAAGCCCCUACUAUGCACAUACCAAUAUAGAUAUUGGUAUUUGUGUGGGUGUGUGUUACAGCAGAUUUUAAUUUUCUUAUUUUGUAUUUUCUGAUUUAUCUACAAUGAAUUUGUAUUAAUUUGCUAACAAAACAUCACUAUUAAAAUAAAUUUUUUUUGAAUUAUAAGAAAAGGCUAACAUCAUAACAAUAAGGUUGUAUAGAAUAAACUGACAACACAGAAGUUAUUUUGGCCCUGUGUUCCACAGUGACUCACCAAAUAUACCCUGCACUGUUUAUUUUAUUUUUUUCUAUUUCACUAUUGAAAUGAACAGAUGCAUUUCACGUCACAUGGAUCUCGUGGAAACAUGCCAAACAUUUUCUUAGCAACCAAACUCCUGUCUUCUGCACUGUGCAUGAUUAACUAAAACAGCCUGUUGACGGCUUAAAAUAAACCUGCCUUUUCCAUUUAGCAUUUUAUCAAAUGAAUAUAAUUUCAUUUGCUGAUGAAUUUAGUUCAGCUUCAAGAGAAUUUUUCUUUUCUUCAUGGGGAGGCUGAAGAAUCAGAACUGUCAUACCAAAGAAUGAAAAGCAAGCCUAGGGAGAACAAGACAGUCUGAUGUUUACAUGGGGUUAACUUAUUUGAUCAGUGAAAUCAGAAAAGGAUCAUUCUGCAUUCGUGGACUACUCUCAUUGACACACUCGCUUACCCAUCUGAAAACAGCAACACAGUCUGGGUUCCUGAUUUGUAUCUGUUACCCUUCAUGGAAAUGGCUGGUGAAGCAAAACUAUGUGUGUAAAACUGCAUCUGCCACAGGCUGCUUGUCCACAAAAGCAGCAAAGCAUCUCUAUGGAAUACCUCCGUAUGGAUCUGUAAAGAAGAGUCCCACUUCAGUCAAAGACAGUAGAUUAUGAGGUAAGAUAACACGUGUAGUUUUUAAGAUUCCAUACUGACAAGCUUCUGUUGUUUUAAAAAAAAGUUUUGGGUGUUGAUACAGAAAUUAAUGCUAAAUAGAUAAUGAUCUCCCUCUAAUGACAUGCUUCAUCAUGUUACUUAUUCUCUUCUCUCAAAAAUACACGAUGUCAUUUAAUCUUCACAAUAAUCUUGUAAGAUAGGAUCAGCUCUAUUUCACUUCUGGAAGAUGUUAAGAAAAGUUAAUUAUUUGACAAAAGUUGUAAUUAGCAAUUGGCAAACACUCCAACCCAACUUCUGACUCCAAAGUCAGUGUUUUUACUAUUCUACUCUGGCUGCUGAGUUCUAAUUUUUAUUUUGUCUUAGAUGAGGUAGAUAGAAUAUAAUCACUUAUAUAUGGAUAUGUAUCUCAAAAAUGUAGCAUUUAGUAUGGAAAAUACAUAUUUGGGUCUCUAAGUCUUUCUAUGAAUUCUAAAAUGUAGAUGUCAUAUCCAUCUUACCUACUGUAGCUGAUAAAUCGUUCACCCUUUAAUAAUCAAUGAACUUCACAGUGCAACCCCAUCAUAUCUUAUUAGAGAAAUGCCUCGUUCCUGGGAAUAAGGAGUGCUGAACAAGUAACCAACUUUUAAUGUUUAUUCCCUAUUAUUUUUAUUCCAUAUUAUUUUUUGAUUAAAAUUUUUAAUAAAAAAAGAAUAUUUUUUGUAUGUCAAAAAUUCCUUCAUCAGGGGAAACAUGCCUCCUCCAUUCCACAAAAAUCCUGUUCAUUCCAUGAAGUAGGUAAGAGUAGGGAUCCAUCCUUUCCCUGCACAAGACCACCAACCUUAAUGCUGAGCACACAGCAUUCCUUGGGCCAAUCAGACUUCUGCCAGACUAGACUUUCUUUUUGCAGGGGGUGGGAGAAGGGGCAUGCCAGAUGAAGGAAUGAUGUGGGUUCAAGGCUACCAACUGUAACAACUGCAAUAUUAUCAAAUGUAAAGUUUCUCUGAAAAUGAGACCCAGCAGUGGACAAAGUAAGUACUAUUAUUCGAACCUCCAGAUCCAACCACACAUUAUUAAGCUUUCUGGUUUUGAGACAAAAGUAAUUUCCUUAUUUUGCUUAAGCUUGUUUGAUUUGGGUUUCUGUUACCACUUAAAGAGUCUAGGCUGGGCACAGUGGCUCAUGCCUGUAAUCCCAGUACUUUGGGAGGCCGAGGCAGGUGGAUCACCUGAGGUCAGGAGACGGAGACCAGCCUGGCCAACAUGGUGAAACCCUGUCUCUACUAAAAACACACAAAAAAAUUAGCUGGGCGUGGUGGCAGGUGCCUGUAAUCCUAGCUACUUGGGAGGCUGAGGCAGGACAAUCGCUCGAACCCGGGAGGCAGAGGUUGCAGUGAGCCGAGACCGUGCCAUCACACGCCAGCCUGGGGGACAAGAGCGAGAUUUCAUCUCAAAAAAAAAAAAAAGUACUAAAACAAAACUCUUUCUAAAAUAUUUCUUUAGAUUUCUCAUAUUGAGGCUACUGAAUGUAAUCUACUACCUGUGUAAUCUCAUGGGUAACCUAUAACAUAUAUCACAAUCUAUUAGCUGUAACUGAAAAUGGGAAUAACAGUACUUAUUUGGAAAAACUUUGUGAGGAAUAAAGCACAUAAAAAUGCCAACUGCCAUGUCUGGCAUUCAGCAAAAAUAAUUGCUCUCCACAAUUAUUGUCUUUCCAAAACAACAAUAGCAGCUAACGUCCGAGUGCUUCUGGUUCUAAGCAGUUUUUCUUGUAUUAAUUUCGAGUUAAUUAGGUUAGAUUACUGUGAGGUAGGCACUCUAAUUAGCCCUGUUUUAUAAAGAAGAAAACAAAGGUGCAGAGAGGUGUUGUCACUUAUCCAAGGAUACACACAGACAUUAAGGGACAGCUGAGGUAUGAAUUACCUAUCACAUUAUGCAACCCAAAAGUUCCGUGGGUUUGAAAGUUUCUGGAUUUUGUUCUCUCUUUGCUGUGAAGCUGUUAACUCCCCUCUCCUUCUUAUGUCACUGAACCCGUCUUUAGAAAAUCCUUUCAAAGUUUAGUUUUUUUACUCUUCUGUGGGUUAGGAAACAAACUCAUCAUUCUUACUGCAAAUUUAUUGAUUUAUUAUUACUUUUAAGUUCCAGGAUACAUGUGAAGAAUGUGAAGAUUUGUUACAUAGGUAUAUGUGUGUUAUGGUGGUUUGCUGCACCCACCUACUGACUUAUCUUCUAAGCUCCUUCUCCUCAUCCCCGACCCCUCAACAGGCCCGUGUGUGUUGUUCCCCUCCCAAAUUUAAUACUGAAUAAAGUAAGGAGAGUUCUAAGUGCAGAUAAAAAAGACAUAAUGUAUUUAGUACAGAGGUUUUAAGAUAAUUUGGAGGUUUAAAAGCUUUUUCUGCUUAUGUCUUGUGCAAAGUAUAGCAUUAAUGUAUUACACAUUCAUACCUGUAUUCUAUUUGUUCAUUCUUUUUUCCCUACAAGAAACUCAUAGUUAGCCAUGGUAAUAGCAGCUAAUGUUUACCGAGUGCUUAUAAUGUGCCAGGCACCUGCCAAGCAUAAACCUAAGUAUUUCAUUUACUCAUAACCACCAUAAGAAGUACUAUUAAAGACCAAUAACAGCUGAGCAAGCUGUGGUCCAAGGACACACAGGGAACAGUGGGAGGGCAGGGAUGGAACCUCAUGCAGUCUGGCUCACUGUGCUCUUCAUCCACUUUGUGAAGACAGGGGCCUGUCUGGUUUACUCUCCACGCUCUCCUGCCAUCUAACACAGUCUAGGGCAUCCAGAAAGUACUAGUGGUUAAUUUUUUAAAAUUCUCCUGAAUAGACUCGCUUGAACCUGGGAGGCAGAGGUUGCAGUGAGCCAAGAUUGCGCCACUGCACUCCAGCCUGGGCGACGGAGUGAGACUGUCUCAAAAACAAAAAAAAAAAAAAAAAAAAAAAAACAACACCCAAAAAA